rnacentral:rRNA from 1 species
AAUGAACGUUGGCGGCGUGGAUUAGGCAUGCAAGUCGCGCGAGAAGUCAUUUAGCUUGCUAAAAGGCGGACAGCGGCGGAAGGGAGAGUAACGCGUGGUUAUGUACCCUCGAGACCGGGAUAGUGUCGGGAAACUGGCAGUAAUACCGGAUAACAUCUUCGGAUCAAAUGGUGUGAUUCCGCUCGAGGAUCGGACCGCGUACUAUUAGCUAGUUGGCGGGGUAAUGGCCCACCAAGGCUUAGAUGGUUACCGGGUGUGAGAGCAUGGCCCGGCUCACUGGGACUGAGACACUGCCCAGAAAUCUACGGAUGGCUGCAGUCGAGAAUCUUCGGCAAUGGACGAAAGUCUGACCGAGCGACGCCGCGUGCGGGAUGAAGGCCCUCGGGUUGUAAACCGCUGUCAGUUAGGAGGAAAUCCAUGAGGGUACUCUCUCAUGGUUGACCGAUUUUCAGAGGAAGGACGGGCUAAGUUCGUGCCAGCCGCCGCGGUAACAC